GGGGCUGUAGCUCAGCUGGGAGAGCGCCUGAUUUGCACUCAGGAGGCCGUCGGUUCGAUUCCGAUCAGCUCCACCA
rnacentral:tRNA from 1 species